UACGGGGGGGGUAAGCGUUGUUCGGAAUUACUGGGCGUAAAGGGCUCGUAGGCGGCCAACUAAGUCAGACGUGAAAUCCCUCAGCUUAACUGGGGAACUGCGUCUGAUACUGGUUGGCUUGAGUGCAGGAGAGGAACGCGGAAUUCCAGGUGUAGCGGUGAAAUGCGUAGAUAUCUGGAGGAACACCGGUGGCGAAGGCGGCGUUCUGGACUGCAACUGACACUGAUGAACGAAAGCCAGGGUAGCAAACGGG
rnacentral:rRNA from 1 species